rnacentral:rRNA from 1 species
UCUCCUACGGGGCGCAGCAGUGGGGGAUAUUGCACAAUGGGGGAAACCCUGAUGCAGCGACGCCGCGUGGGUGAAGAAGCGCCUCGGCGCGUAAAGCCCUGUCAGCAGGGAAGAAAAUGACGGUACCUGAAGAAGAAGCCCCGGCUAACUACGUGCCAGCAGCCGCGGAAAUACGUAGGGGGAGAGCGUUAUCCGGAUUUACUGGGUGUGAAGGGGGGGCAGACGGCGAGGCAAGCCAGGAGUGAAAGCCCGGGGCUCAACCCCGGGACGGCUCUUGGAACUGCGUGGCUAGAGUGCAG